AUGGCUCCGGCUGCUUCAGAGCAGAUCAGCCCUCGCUUCUGGGGGCUGUUUUUUGAUCAUAUCGGGGCUGCGUGCACCUCGCCGGCUCCAUGGGACCGGCUGUACGGUGUUAACCGAUUGGACGAUCUAAUUGGUGUCGUGCCGCAGUUCCACGCAAUUCUGGGAGUUCCGGAAUUGGUCACGUGGUUCCCCGCGCUACAGGAGGAGUUGGCUGCCCAGCUGGCCGGACGCUCGCCAUCACAGCGGGAUCCUGAACUGCGGUCUGGAUUUUUGGCAGCGGCCAGAACAGCGGUGGACUAUUUUAAUUUAGGGGCGCCAACAGACUCUCAGCCGGCAGCGGUUUCUGCCGUAGCUCCGCCCACGGCUCCCGUCACUCAAAUGGAGACCGUGCCCGGAGCUGUUUGUCUCUCUCCCUCCGAGGCUCGGAGUAUAUGGAGGGAGCUGAAGGGACAGUGUGGAACGGUGGAUUUUAAACGGACUAAGGAACGUAUCUCAUCGGAGGUGGAUUUUGUUGUGGCUGCUGACAGGACAGAGAACUUUGCAGCAACUUCCUGUUGGCCUGCUGCAUCACGAGUCGGCUCACCUGUCCCAGCACCUCGUCUGGCCUACAAGGGUAGAGUGAGGGUGGGUUUGCUUCGUGGGGUUCCAAUGGCAUCACCGCGUCAUGUUCCUGUCGCCAAGCCAUGUUCGACCUUGUCCGUUCCUGGUGGUCUGGUGGAGACCACGUCCGUUCCUGGUGGUCCGGUGGAGACCACGUCCGUUCCUGGUGGUCCGGUGGAGACCACGUCCGUUCCUGGUGGUCCGGAGGAGGCCACGGCCGUUCCUGGUGGUCCGGAGGAGUCCACGGCCGUUCCUGGUGGUCCGGUGUCGGCCACGUCUGUUCCCGAUGGUGGUCCGGAGGAGGCCACGUCCGUUCCUGGUGGAACGUUGCGUCGCGGUGGUCCAGGGAGGACGCCGCUGGUUCCUGUCUCUAGUCGCGGUGGUCCAGGGAGGACGCCGCUGGUUCCUGUCUCUAGUCGCGGUGGUCCAGGGAGGACGCCGCUGGUUCCUGUCUCUAGUCGCGGUGGUCCAGGGAGGACGCCGCUGGUUCCUGUCUCUCGUCGCGGUGGUCCAAGGAGGACGCCGCUGGUUCCUGUCUCUAGUAGCGGUGGUCCAGGGAGGACGCCGCUGGUUCCUGUUUCUAGUCGCGGUGGUCCAGGGAGGACGCCGCUGGUUCCUGUCUUUCGUCGCGGUGGUCCAGGGAGGACGCCGCUGGUUCCUGUCUCUCGUCGCGGUGGUCCAAGGAGGACGCCGCUGGUUCCUGUCUCUCGUCGUGGUGGUCCAGGGAGGACGCCGCUGGUUCCUGUCUCUCGUCGCGGUGGUCCAGGGAGGACGCCGCUGGUUCCUGUCUCUAGUCGCGGUGGUCCAGGGAGGACGCCGCUGGUUCCUGUCUCUAGUCGUGGUGGUCCAGGGAGGACGCCGCUGGUUCCUGUCUCUAGUCGCGGUGGUCCAGGGAGGACGCCGCUGGUUCCUGUCUCUCGUCGCGGUGGUCCAGGGAGGACGCCGCUGGUCCCUGUUCGUCAACGCGGUGGUCCAAGAUGGAAGCCGCUGGUUUCCCUGCACUCUGGCGGUGGUCUGGAGCUGCGUAGUUGUCUCGUGGACUGGUGGCCUCGCCUUCGGCGUCGACAGCUGCUACGGUGGCGCCGUCGGCCGCCACGGGGAUCUCAACGUCUGAUGGACAGACGGUUUCGGCCCCGUCAAGCCCCUGGAGGGCUCAUGUUUCGUCGGCGGCCGCCCAGAGGUCGCACUGUCAGUCUGGGGACAGUCAAACUGCCUACUCCUCUGCAGCAGUGGCUGGAGGAGGUUCGUCGCCCGCCUUGA
ensembl:lncRNA